CGGGUGCACUGAUCCAGCCGGGCCUUUCCCUCUGUGGAACCCCAUGGCCUUCACUGGCUGUGGUGGGGAAACAGGACUUUUACUUUGAAAAAAUUAGAGUGCUCCAGGCAGGCCUAUGCUCGAAUACAUUAGCAUGGAAUAAUAGAAUAGGACGUGUGGUUCUAUUUUGUUGGUUUCUAGGACCGCCGUAAUGAUUAAUAGGGACAGUCGGGGGCAUCAGUAUUCAAUUGUCAGAGGUGAAAUUCUUGGAUCUAUUGAAGACUAACUACUGCGAAAGCAUUUGCCAAGGAUGUUUUCAUUGAUAAGGAACGAAAGUUAGGGGAUCGAAGACGAUCAGAUACCGUCGUAGUCUUAACUAUAAACUAUGCCGACUAGGGAUCGGACGAUGUUAUUCUUUGACGCGUUCGGCACCUUUCGAGAAAUCAAAGUGCUUGGGCUCCAGGGGGAGUAUGGUCGCAAGGCUGAAACUUAAAGAAAUUGACGGAAGGGCACCACCAGGGGUGGAACCUGCGGCUUAAUUUGACUCAACACGGGGAAACUCACCAGGUCCAGACACAGUGGGGAUUGACAGAUUGAGAGCUCUUUCUUGAUUCUGUGGGUGGUGGUGCAUGGCCGUUCUUAGUUGGUGGAGUGAUUUGUCUGCUUAAUUGCGAUAACGAACGAGACCUUAACCUGCUAAAUAGCCCGUACUGCUUUGGCAGUUCGCCGGCUUCUUAGAGGGACUAUCGG
rnacentral:rRNA from 1 species